ACAUACGACCAUACCCACUGGAAAACUCGGGAUCCCGUCCGCUCUCCCAUAGAUAAGCCAGUGAG
rfam:Colletotrichum sublineola strain TX430BB Scaffolds0754.1, whole genome shotgun sequence.